GUCAGUCCGACAUCACGGCUCGGCGCUGAUUGGUUGAUUCUCCUGGUUGUAGAGUCCGGCAAAGUGUCGAAGUGAAGCCUGAAGAAGUGAAGAGGAAGUACUUUUAUAAAGAAAAGGAAAUAUAGAAAAUGCUACUUUAACUUUUUGCAGCGGAGCAGAGGGAGAAGCCAGCCAUGCCAGCUCAACCCCCUGUGAGGGAGCCAGAAGAGGAGAUGGAGGCAGAAGGAGAAUCACAACUCCCUGAGGCCAACGGAGAGGUGGAGCAACCCAGAGAGGAUGAAAGAGGAGGUGGAGGAGGAGAGGAGACCAUGGAGGAGAGCACGGAGGAGAGGGACAGCGACUUGGAUGAUAGUGAAGAUGAGGAAGAGGAGGAGGAAGAGGAGAGUUCAGAGAUGGAUGAUGAAGACUGUGAGCGGAGGAGAGGGGAAUGUCUAGACGAGAUGUUGGAUUUGGAAAAACAAUUUCAGGAGCUGAAAGAGAAGUUGUUUCGCGAGCGGCAGAACCAGGUGAAAGUGAAGCUGGACGAGGUGCUGACAGGGAAGGCUGGAGAAUACAGAGAACCACUGGUUGGACUACAGGACAGCAUGCAGAUACAAACACAAGUAGCUGGAGUGUACAGAGAGCUGUGUCUACAGGUGAUCCGACACAAGUACGAGUGUGAACAACAAGGAGCAAAGCAGCACCUGGAGAGCGAGCGGACGUUGCUGUUUGAUGCCAUGAAGACUGAACUGCUGGAGAAGAUAAGACGACUGGAGGAGGACAGACAGAAUAUAGACCUCACCUCAGAGUGGAGUGAUGAGCUGAGGGGAAAGAAGUGUAAAAGAAAGAACGUGCUGGGUCGGUCGGAGAGGAAAAAGAAAGUGGCUCUGGUUUCAGGACCUUUCAUCGUCUACAUGUUGAGAGACAUUGACAUCCUUGAAGACUGGACCGCUAUCAAGAAGGUAAAAAAGGAGUAGCUCCUUUUCUUCAGCUCCCAAAUGUCUCAGCUGUUGCACUACCAUGUAAUUUCAGUGUUGACAUCACACUAAAUGAAGGCCAAAGCAGCACUGGCGCCACUAAAGAAGAAAGUUGAGAAGCGGUGAUAAUAGGGGGAUCUUAUUGAAGACCAGCAGCAAAGAAACCAAACUUCACACACACAUUCUCAGCUACUUCCACUAACGGUUUCUGUCUCCUCCAAACCCAGAUGACUGCUGUGUUGUUUUUCUCCGCACCUUUGACCCCCGCCCGACUGCUUGUGUGUUAUCUAUUGCUAUUUAAAAUAAGUUUUCUUAAUGAUAUGACAACCAUGUAUUUAUAGAAUGAUUUAUAACGGUGAUUAAAAUUGUAAUCUUUUGUGACAAG